rnacentral:misc_RNA from 1 species
UCAGUCAGAUCACAAUACAGGAAGAUACAAAUUGUUCAGGCCUUGGACCUUUGUUCUGUACUAUAAUUUAACCGGAAAAUUAUAUACACAGAAUCCUUGUUAACAUCAUCUUGCUUUUCUAGGAAGAAAUAGGUUUAGUGGACUUGUAAAUCUGAUCAACCGGUUUCAACCUCUUUAUCCUUCGCUUAGGAUACCCAUCUUCCUCCUCUCCAAAAAUCUCCUGCAGAACAGGGGAAUAAGAAGAAACAUCACCUCCAUCGCCACCGCCCUGGUGGUGGAGGCUGUAGACGUUGCUUAGUUGCAGAAGCAGGUGAGCCACGUCCAAUUCCCAGUCAGAGAAAGAGAUAUUCUUCAUCUUCCUCUUACGGGUUGUGUUGUUUUGAAAUGUUGAAGGAAGCUUUGCCAUUGUCUUGAAGAUUACGGACGAAGAGAAUUGAAUCAGAGUUGGAGAUGAGUUCGAUAUUUAUACAGGGGAACUUAUAAUAGCG